GGAUUUUUAUCCUAUGGAGAUCUUUAAUCUUGAUGUUGUCAUUUGGUCUCAGGGCAGUGCUUGGCUUGCGAACUCCAUCCUGGAUUAGUACCAGAAAGUGCCGCAGACCAGAGGCCACACGUUCCCUCCCUAACACAUUCUCAGCCCGCUUCCCUUCCAAGCAGCCGCCACACCCUGUGCCAUGCCAGCCGCUGGCUCAAGGCAAGCAGGAUCCCUAUCAGCAGCCUACCUGUCACGCAGUGGUCCCGGAGAACGCAGAGGCUCAGCAGCGCCUGGAGCACAGGAAGCGCGGGCGCCCUGCCCUGCAGGUGUGGUCCCACCUGGCGCCCACUGGCCGCAGCUGCCUGCGGUGCAGGUGGCGGGUGGCGGACGGGCGGUCUGCGGCUCGGGUGGGAGCCCCGGCGCCAGCUCUGCAAAUAUCCACGUAGCAUCGCUGCUAGGUGCCCGUCUCCGGGAGCAAGAUGCCUGCACAAAAGCAUCGGGCAUGGAACGCACAGAUUUUGAACAUUAGUUUCUAUUUCAUCUCUGUGGGAGAAAGGAACACGCACUAUGGGAAAGUGGAGGGGAAGAGAGCCCCGCAUAAUUUCCGACGGAUGUUUGACAAAUCAUUUCGCCCUCAGAACCCUGCAUCAGCCCCCGUUUCCCAAGUUUAAAAUUCUUGUCAUUGUCAGUGUCAGUGACGCCUUUCCAAAUCUGAGAAAGAAUAGAUCAGACCCACCGAGAUACAACUUUUUUUUUUUUUUAACUUUUCAAGCAGUAUUAAAAGUACAGAAAAUUGGCUUUAAAAUUGUUGUUUUGAAUAUGGUCUAUUUUGAAGGGAAAAAAAAAUCCAGAAUAUGAAAAUGUCUGAAAAUAGAGUAGCUCAGUAGUUGCCUGAAUUUGGAGGGGAGGGAGUGGGAGAUGGUAGCUCAUAGGUAGAGUGUUCUGAUUUAGGAUAAGAAAAAUGACUUAAUUUUGAUUGUGGUUACAGUUGUACAGAUUUGUCAACGUGUUAACAUCACCUAAAUCCUGCAUUUUGAAUUGGUAAAUUGUACAGCAUGCACAUUUUUUAGUUUAGCCCAGUUGUUUUAUUUACAAAAAGGAAAUUGGUUUAAAAAGGGGGACUGUAUUUUAAAUAUUCUAAGUAGAAUAAAAUGUACAACAAUUGGCUAUUGUAUCUGAUAUAACUUUUCUUAUAUAGAAUAAAAUAAAAUAGAAGGCCCUGUUGGAGCUAUACAUUUUGUACAUUGCAGUGUGUAAAAUUUUUCAUAAUUUUUGUGGCUUCUAUAUGUUUAAAAAUCGUGAGCAAUUUGAAUAUGCUUUGUUUGGCCUUGCAAAAAGAAGAGAGCAUGUGGUUUUGGGCAAUUCCCUUUAAGAACUGUCCUUUUGAAAACUCAUUAGGCUGAGAGGAGGGAUUGAGACAGACAGACAGACAGCAAGAAGUAGGUCAUGAACCACCACAGAAACAGGGCUGGCGUGAGCUAUUCUGUCACCUGUUUCUUUGGCAAUUGAAGGACAGGCCCAUUCACUGUGAGCAUUUCUCCUGCUGAAGGUGAUAUAUCUCAUGUCAAGGAAAAAGCCCAUCCUGCGUCUGUGGGAUUCAUUUGCCUCUGAGAGCAAAAAGUUUAGAGAAACAGUUGGCUGUUUUCGGAUGAGGAAAACAUUGCUUUAGUCUGUCUGCUUAGCCUUUAACAUCCCCACCAACACCAUGCAAGAACUGAAGCCUUGUUUCCCAGAGCAUAAGCAAGCGUAGGCGUGUCCAAAGGUGCAUGUUAUCUUACUGUGGUAGAAACAGUGUAUACAUACAUGUAUUUUUCCCUCAAAUAUCAUAUUUUA
ensembl:lincRNA